rnacentral:rRNA from 1 species
AUUGAACGCUGGCGGCAGGCCUAACACAUGCAAGUCGAGCGGAUGACGGGAGCUUGCUCCUUGAUUCAGCGGCGGACUGGUGAGUAAUGCCUAGGAAUCUGCCUGGUAGUGGGGGACAACGUUCCGAAAGGGGCGCUAAUACCGCAUACGUCCUACGGGAGAAAGUGGGGGAUCUUCGGACCUCCCGCUUUCAGAUGAGCCUGGGUCGGAUUAGCUAGUUGGUGAGGUAAAGGCUCACCAAGGCGACGAUCCGUAACUGGUCUGAGAGGAUGAACAGUGACCCUGGAACUGCUGCACGGUCCAGACUCCUAGGGGAGGAAAGAGUGGGGCAUAUUUGAAAUGGGGAGAAAGCCUGAUCCAGCCAUGCCGCGUGUGUGAAGAAGGUCUUCGGAUUGUAAAGCACUUUAAGUUGGGAGGAAGGGCAGUAAGUUAAUACCUUGCUGUUUUGACGUUACCGACAGAAUAAGCACCGGCUAACUCUGUGCCAGCCGCCGCUGUAAGAC